rnacentral:rRNA from 1 species
AUUGAACGCUGGCGGCAUGCCUUACACAUGCAAGUCGAACGGCAGCACGGGAGCAAUCCUGGUGGCGAGUGGCGAACGGGUGAGUAAUAUAUCGGAACGUGCCCAGUCGUGGGGGAUAACUACUCGAAAGAGUAGCUAAUACCGCAUACGAUCUACGGAUGAAAGCGGGGGAUCGCAAGACCUCGCGCGAUUGGAGCGGCCGAUAUCAGAUUAGGUAGUUGGUGGGGUAAAAGCCCACCAAGCCUGCGAUCUGUAGCUGGUCUGAGAGGACGACCAGCCACACUGGAACUGAGACACGGUCCAGACUCCUACGGGAGGCAGCAGUGGGGAAUUUUGGACAAUGGGCGCAAGCCUGAUCCAGCAAUGCCGCGUGCAGGACGAAGGCCUUCGGGUUGUAAACUGCUUUUGUACGGAGCGAAAAGGUCUCUACUAAUACUAGGGGCUCAUGACGGUACCGUAAGAAUAAGCACCGGCUAACUACGUG